rnacentral:rRNA from 1 species
UACAGAGGGUUCGAGCGUUAAUCGGAAUUACUGGGCGUAAAGCGCGCGUAGGCGGCUUUUCAAGUCGAUUGUGAAAUCCCCGGGCUUAACCUGGGAACUGCAGUCGAGACUGUCUAGCUAGAGUAUGGGAGAGGGAAGUGGAAUUUCAGGUGUAGCGGUGAAAUGCGUAGAUAUCUGAAGGAACAUCAGUGGCGAAAGCGACUUCCUGGACCAAUACUGACGCUCAUGUGCGAAAGCGUGGGGAGCAAACAGG